rnacentral:tRNA from 1 species
CAAAAUGUAGCUUAAUUAAAGCAUUUCGCUUACACCGGAAAAAUAUCUGUGAGACCCUGAUCAUUUUGAG